GUGCUGAUUUUAGCAACACAUACACUAUAAUUGGAAUAACACUGAAAGACUAGCAAGGCCCCUAUGCAAGGAUGACAUGCAAAUUUGUGAAACAUUUACUGUCUUA
ensembl:snRNA U6 U6 spliceosomal RNA